CCCUAGCCCCGAUAGCAGUGAAAAUCCUUUUACUUUUUUCUUUAAAAAGUAAAAGAUUGCAAUCUCGUCUUUAAAACGAGACGGGAA
rnacentral:sRNA from 1 species